GCCCAAUGUGAUCAAUGUUAACUGUUCGGAACGGUAUGUGUAACACUUCUUGCAAGUAUAGUUCACCAAGAAGCAAUGUAGCAAUGUAUGUAUAUAGCCGCCCAUUUCGGUUCCAAAAUGUCCCGCUUUAUCGUGGUUGCACUUGGUUAGGCGCCAUCUGAUUGCUUGAGGUACCACUAACAUUUUUCCAUCAUCAUGUUUUCGGUACAAUCGCCGUUUAUAGAGUUUAAAUUCAACUCCACUGGUUACUGGAGUCCCAGUUUUCAAAAACCUCAAAGAUGUCUUUUAUUUUUAUGAGUAAAUCCAGUAUUCGUCGAUGAGAACUAUCAAUAUGUUGUCUGCUACGGUUAUUGUUUUGUCCCCCGGUAGAUGUACUGGAGUCCGACUCAUUCCGUCUACAUGAGGUAUUUGCUCUCCAGGCCGAUGUUUGCAUUUAAAGA